AUGGAGUAUAUUGUAAAGGUACAGACAGAGGUGGUUUUUCUUCCAGGUCUGCAUCGCAAUCAAUCACAACUUGUUUUGCGUGUCCUCCUCUCUAACACCCUCCGCUUACUUCUCUCUCUGCUCAUGCAAGCCGGUGGAAGCAUCCUACAUAGGGGAUUAAGGUCUCAUUUCAAUUCGUACAUGCUCUUAUUCCCCCUUCAGAAGGGCGCUCUCCAGGGAGUAUUGGACAACGGGGAAGAGAUUGCCCUGAAGAAGCUUACUCACAUAGGGCCUGAAGACACGAAAUUUGCAGAUGAGUUCAAUAACAUUAUUAGGGCCCAUCAUCAAAAUAUCAUACAGUAUGUUGGCUACUGCUAUCAUCCAGGCAACUGGAUGAAGCUCGAUGAAAAAUAUAUCUUUGCUCAUGAGCCAAUAAGAAUUCUCUGCUUUGAAUAUUUGCAUGGUGGAGACCUUGAGAGGCACCUUUCUGCAAAUAUACUGCUGGACAACAACAUGAUGCCGAAAAUAGGAGAUUUUGGUAUAUCAAGAAUCUUCCCUUCAGCAAAAACCAUUACCACGGCAACAGGAACAUUGAUAGGGACAAUGGGAUUCAUGCCACCGGAAUAUAUUAACGAAAACAUAAUCUCACAAAAAUAUGAUGUGUUCAGUUUGGGUGCCGUAAUCCUACAAAUAAUGGCAGGACGCCAGAGUUAUCGCGAUUGUGGACGUGAUCCUUCUGAAACAUUCAUUGAGCUUGUAUGUGAAAAAUGGCGAAAAAAGCUACAUCCAACAAUGUCACCACACCCAUGCCAACAAGUUAAUGCAUGCAUUGGAAUAGCUUUAAGAUGUCUCGAGGAUGACCGACAGAAAAGGCCCACCACAAGGGAGAUAGCCACUGAGCUUAAUAGGAUUGAUAUGGGAAACUUAUCACUGACGGAGGAGGUCGUCAAUGAACUUAAUCUGAUUGAUACUGAAUUUUGUUCACUUACAGAUAAGGCUACUAACUUACAAAGCAGGGUGGCAUUGGCCUAUAACCAUUACAAGAACUCAGAAAAUAUACAUCCAAUGGAUCCUGCAGGCGUGGUGCAAGCAGUGACGGGUUGGGUGAGGCGCACCCAGAGCCGGGGUUGA
rnacentral:rRNA from 1 species